rnacentral:rRNA from 1 species
UUUAAUUCGAAGCAACGCGCAGAACCUUACCAGCUCUUGACAUCCAAGACCGCCACAGAGACGUGGUUUUCCCUUCGGGGACUUGGAGACAGGUGCUGCAUGGCUGUCGUCAGCCCGUGUCGUGAGAUGUUGGGUUAAGUCCCGCAACGAGCGCAACCCUCGCCUCUAGUUGCCAGCAUUCAGUUGGGCACUCUAGAGGGACUGCCGGUGAUAAGCCGAGAGGAAGGUGGGGAUGACGUCAAGUCCUCAUGGCCCUUACGGGCUGGGCUACACACGUGCUACAAUGGCGGUGACAAUGGGCAGCGACUUCGCGAGGAGUAGCCAAUCCCAAAAAGCCGUCUCAGUUCGGAUUGCACUCUGCAACUCGAGUGCAUGAAGUUGGAAUCGCUAGUAAUCGCGUAACAGCAUGACG